GACGAACGCUGGCGGCGUGCUUAACACAUGCAAGUCGAGCGGGGUCCAUCCGGUAGCAAUACCGGUGAAGACCUAGCGGCGAACGGGUGAGUAACACGUGAGCAACCUGCCCCGAAGUCUGGGAUAACACCGGGAAACCGGUGCUAAUACCGGAUGUCCUCAUCGAGUCACCUGGCUUGAUGAGGAAAGAUUUAUCGCUUCGGGAGGGGCUCGCGGCCUAUCAGCUUGUUGGCGGGGAACGGCCCACCAAGGCUUCGACGGGUAGCUGGUCUGAGAGGACGACCAGCCACACUGGGACUGAGACACGGCCCAGACUCCUACGGGAGGCAGCAGUGGGGAAUCUUGCGCAAUGGGCGAAAGCCUGACGCAGCAACGCCGCGGUGGGGA
rnacentral:rRNA from 1 species